rnacentral:rRNA from 1 species
UACGUAGGGUGCGAGCGUUGUCCGGAAUUACUGGGCGUAAAGAGCUCGUAGGUGGUUUGUCGCGUUGUCCGUGAAAACUCACAACUCAAUUGUGGGCGUGCGGGCGAUACGGGCAGACUGGAGUACUGCAGGGGAGACUGGAAUUCCUGGUGUAGCGGUGGAAUGCGCAGAUAUCAGGGGGAACACCGGUGGCGAAGGCGGCAUCCUGGACCGAGAUUGACGCUGAUGCGCGAAAGCCAGGGGAGCAAACGGG